AGUGGCGGACGGGUGAGUAACGCGUGGGUAACCUGCCUUGUACAGGGGGAUAACAGUCAGAAAUGACUGCUAAUACCGCAUAAGCGCACAGGACCGCAUGGUCCGGUGUGAAAAACUCCGGUGGUAUAAGAUGGACCCGCGUUGGAUUAGCUAGUUGGCAGGGUAACGGCCUACCAAGGCGACGAUCCAUAGCCGGCCUGAGAGGGUGAACGGCCACAUUGGGACUGAGACACGGCCCAGACUCCUACGGGAGGCAGCAGUGGGGAAUAUUGCACAAUGGGGGAAACCCUGAUGCAGCGACGCCGCGUGAAGGAAGAAGUAUCUCGGUAUGUAAACUUCUAUCAGCAGGGAAGAAAAUGACGGUACCUGACUAAGAAGCCCCGGCUAACUACGUGCCAGCAGCCGCGGUAAUACGUAGGGGGCAAGCGUUAUCCGGAUUUACUGGGUGUAAAGGGAGCGUAGACGGAUGGACAAGUCUGAUGUGAAAGGCUGGGGCUCAACCCCGGGACUGCAUUGGAAACUGCCCGUCUUGAGUGCCGGAGAGGUAAGCGGAAUUCCUAGUGUAGCGGUGAAAUGCGUAGAUAUUAGGAGGAACACCAGUGGCGAAGGCGGCUUACUGGACGGUAACUG
rnacentral:rRNA from 1 species